GAUGAACGCUAGCUACAGGCUUAACACAUGCAAGUCGAGGGGCAUCAGGGAGAUAGCUUGCUAUCUUUGCUGGCGACCGGCGCACGGGUGAGUAACGCGUAUCCAACCUUCCCCUUACUAAGGAAUAGCCCGGCGAAAGUCGGAUUAAUGCCCUAUGUUGUAUUAUGAGGACAUCUGAGCAAUACCAAAGAUUUAUCGCUAUGGGAUGGGGAUGCGUCUGAUUAGGUAGUAGGCGGGGUAACGGCCCACCUAGCCGACGAUCAGUAGGGGUUCUGAGAGGAAGGUCCCCCACAUUGGUACUGAGACACGGACCAAACUCC
rnacentral:rRNA from 1 species